UUUUUAAUUAAUUAAUUAUAUUUAAAUUCUAAAUUUAAUGCACUUUUCUGCCAAAAAAGGU
rnacentral:tRNA from 1 species